AAGGUAGCAUAAUAAAUAGGUUUUUGAUUGAAAUCUUGAAUGAAUGAUUGGACGAAAUAUAAGCUAUUUUAUAAUAAUUAAGUAAAAUUUAAUUUUUCAGUUAAAAAGCUGAAAUUUUAUUAAAAGACGAGAAGACCCUAUAAAUCUUUAUAUUAAAGUUAAUCAAAUAGUUUAUUUUUAAAUUGUUGUAUUUAUUAGAUUAAUUAAAUAUUUUAUUGGGGCGAUAUAAAAAUUUAUAAAACUUUUUAUUACAUGCAUACUUUAAUUAAAGAUUUUAUUUAUUGAUCUAUUAUUAAUAAUUUAAAGAAAAAGAUACUUUAGGGAUAACAGCGUAAUUUUAAUUUUAAGUUCAUAUUAAAAUUAAAGAUUGCGACCUCGAUGUUGGAUUAAAAUUUAAUUUAAAUGCAAAAGUUUAAAAAUUAAGUCUGUUCGACUUUUAAAAUUUUACAUGAUCUGAGUUCAAACCGGUGUGAGCCAGGUUG
rnacentral:rRNA from 1 species